rnacentral:rRNA from 1 species
UACGGGGGGAGCAAACGUUGUUCGGAAUCACUGGGCGUAAAGGGCGUGUAGGCGGCUGAAUAAGUGGGAUGUUAAAUCCCCCGGCUCAACCGGGGACCUGCAUCUCAUACUGUACAGCUCGAGCACAUCAGAGGAGACUGGAAUUCCCGGUGUAGCGGUGAAAUGCGUAGAUAUGCGGAGGAACACCGAUGGCGAAGGCAAUCCCCUGGGCCUGCACUGACGCUCAUGCACGAAAGCGUGGGGAGCAAACAGG